CCCUUUAAUCUCCCCCUUCUUUUCCAAAAACUCUCACCCACGCCUCCAUCAUCUCCACGUCUACCGCCUCUCCCUACUGCUCUCUAUCUACGUCGAUCGGCACAGUACGUUCUCAUCAUCACAAAUGCCGGAGGUCCUCACAAACCCCUCUUCUCCCCCUUUUCUUUUCGGCAAAAGGCACUCCCCACACCCCUCAGAAUUUUUCACUCUGCUAUUAUCUCCAGCUUCUUCUCCAGUGUCGGUGAGCGAGCAGCUCUCUCCACGAACUUCAGUCGCCCGCACGAACCCGUUCUCGAUCUUCACCCAUCCACCCUUUUCUUCACCCACCCACUCGUUUUCUUCACCCAUUUAUUUAUCAUCCGAUAUUCACAACUGCGGCCCCCACCCCUCGAACGUCAAAUGUCGGUCCUACCUCCACCGUUGUUCUUUUUUGCGUGCAACCCACGGGCCUUGACGAUUUUUCAAUCUUAGUAGAAUUUGAAAAUUAAAUACCAAAAAAACAACAUUUUGGAAAGCGAUAAAGUGUCCUUUACAAGUAGGUACUAUUGAAUGUGGAUAUUAUGUCAUGAGACACAUGCGCGAAAUCGUGAGUAAGGAUACAAACAUUAUUACUGAUGCGAUUGAUACAAGAAUUUGAAGCUGAAAUGUUGAUGUAAGAUAGUUAAGAGGAUUCUAAGAAACUAUGUAAAAGGAAGUUUCUUAAUUUGAUGAGUGGAGUUUUAGUUAUGAUAUUUGGAUGUUGAAUCAUGAAUAUGGAUUCUACAUGAAGUCUAGGCAGUGAGGUUGUGCUGAUGAGUGUUAGCUGAUCAUUGGGGAGGUUGUGCAUGAAGUGUGUGCAUGAAUUGUGUGCAUGAAAUGAUAAAUUGAGGCGUUAAGCAGAUGCAAGGCAUAGCCUACACACAUAGCUAGGCGACAUGUGAGAUGCGGGCGCAACAAGUCACAUCGCGAGGUUUUAGGUUUAGGUCACUUUUUAUGUUUUAGUAAUUUUAAGUCAAGUUUGGACUAUUUUAGGAUUAAGAAGGUUAAUUCAAGAUUAAAUUCUCUUAUUUUGAAACAAAAAAAGAUUGGACAAAUUUAUAGACCUAAAAGAGUUAGCUCAAAUUUGUGAGUGAUGUUUAAAUGCUUAUUAACAUAGUUUUCAAGCUAAAAUAUUUUGAGCA